UACGUAGGGGGCAAGCGUUGUCCGGAUUUACUGGGCGUAAAGAGCGUGUAGGCGGCCAGGCAGGUCUGUUGUGAAAACUGGAGGCUUAACCUCCAGACGUCGACAGAAACCGCUUGGCUAGAGUCCGGAAGAGGAGAGUGGAAUUCCUGGUGUAGCGGUGAAAUGCGCAGAUAUCAGGAAGAACACCGGUGGCGAAGGCGGCUCUCUGGGCCUUACCUGACGCUGAGGAGCGAAAGCGUGGGUAGCGAACAGG
rnacentral:rRNA from 1 species